CACACUAUCAUUAACUGAAUCCAUAGGUUAAUGAGGCGAACCGGGGGAACUGAAACAUCUAAGUACCCCGAGGAAAAGAAAUCAACCGAGAUUCCCCCAGUAGCGGCGAGCGAACGGGGAGCAGCCCAGAGCCUGAAUCAGUGUGUGUGUUAGUGGAAGCGUCUGGAAAGGCGCGCGAUACAGGGUGACAGCCCCGUACACAAAAAUGCACAUGCUGUGAGCUCGAUGAGUAGGGCGGGACACGUGGUAUCCUGUCUGAAUAUGGGGGGACCAUCCUCCAAGGCUAAAUACUCCUGACUGACCGAUAGUGAACCAGUACCGUGAGGGAAAGGCGAAAAGAACCCCGGCGAGGGGAGUGAAAAAGAACCUGAAACCGUGUACGUACAAGCAGUGGGAGCACGCUUAGGCGUGUGACUGCGUACCUUUUGUAUAAUGGGUCAGCGACUUAUAUUCUGUAGCAAGGUUAACCGAAUAGGGGAGCCGAAGGGAAACCGAGUCUUAACUGGGCGUUAAGUUGCAGGGUAUAGACCCGAAACCCGGUGAUCUAGCCAUGGGCAGGUUGAAGGUUGGGUAACACUAACUGGAGGACCGAACCGACUAAUGUUGAAAAAUUAGCGGAUGACUUGUGGCUGGGGGUGAAAGGCCAAUCAAACCGGGAGAUAGCUGGUUCUCCCCGAAAGCUAUUUAGGUAGCGCCUCGUGAACUCAUCUCCGGGGGUAGAGCACUGUUUCGGCAAGGGGGUCAUCCCGACUUACCAACCCGAUGCAAACUGCGAAUACCGGAGAAUGUUAUCACGGGAGACACACGGCGGGUGCUAACGUCCGUCGUGAAGAGGGAAACAACCCAGACCGCCAGCUAAGGUCCCAAAGUCAUGGUUAAGUGGGAAACGAUGUGGGAAGGCCCAGACAGCCAGGAUGUUGGCUUAGAAGCAGCCAUCAUUUAAAGAAAGCGUAAUAGCUCACUGGUCGAGUCGGCCUGCGCGGAAGAUGUAACGGGGCUAAACCAUGCACCGAAGCUGCGGCAGCGACGCUUAUGCGUUGUUGGGUAGGGGAGCGUUCUGUAAGCCUGUGAAGGUGUGCUGUGAGGCAUGCUGGAGGUAUCAGAAGUGCGAAUGCUGACAUAAGUAACGAUAAAGCGGGUGAAAAGCCCGCUCGCCGGAAGACCAAGGGUUCCUGUCCAACGUUAAUCGGGGCAGGGUGAGUCGACCCCUAAGGCGAGGCCGAAAGGCGUAGUCGAUGGGAAACAGGUUAAUAUUCCUGUACUUGGUGUUACUGCGAAGGGGGGACGGAGAAGGCUAUGUUGGCCGGGCGACGGUUGUCCCGGUUUAAGCGUGUAGGCUGGUUUUCCAGGCAAAUCCGGAAAAUCAAGGCUGAGGCGUGAUGACGAGGCACUACGGUGCUGAAGCAACAAAUGCCCUGCUUCCAGGAAAAGCCUCUAAGCAUCAGGUAACAUCAAAUCGUACCCCAAACCGACACAGGUGGUCAGGUAGAGAAUACCAAGGCGCUUGAGAGAACUCGGGUGAAGGAACUAGGCAAAAUGGUGCCGUAACUUCGGGAGAAGGCACGCUGAUAUGUAGGUGAAGCGACUUGCUCGUGGAGCUGAAAUCAGUCGAAGAUACCAGCUGGCUGCAACUGUUUAUUAAAAACACAGCACUGUGCAAACACGAAAGUGGACGUAUACGGUGUGACGCCUGCCCGGUGCCGGAAGGUUAAUUGAUGGGGUUAGCGCAAGCGAAGCUCUUGAUCGAAGCCCCGGUAAACGGCGGCCGUAACUAUAACGGUCCUAAGGUAGCGAAAUUCCUUGUCGGGUAAGUUCCGACCUGCACGAAUGGCGUAAUGAUGGCCAGGCUGUCUCCACCCGAGACUCAGUGAAAUUGAACUCGCUGUGAAGAUGCAGUGUACCCGCGGCAAGACGGAAAGACCCCGUGAACCUUUACUAUAGCUUGACACUGAACAUUGAGCCUUGAUGUGUAGGAUAGGUGGGAGGCUUUGAAGUGUGGACGCCAGUCUGCAUGGAGCCGACCUUGAAAUACCACCCUUUAAUGUUUGAUGUUCUAACGUUGACCCGUAAUCCGGGUUGCGGACAGUGUCUGGUGGGUAGUUUGACUGGGGCGGUCUCCUCCUAAAGAGUAACGGAGGAGCACGAAGGUUGGCUAAUCCUGGUCGGACAUCAGGAGGUUAGUGCAAUGGCAUAAGCCAGCUUGACUGCGAGCGUGACGGCGCGAGCAGGUGCGAAAGCAGGUCAUAGUGAUCCGGUGGUUCUGAAUGGAAGGGCCAUCGCUCAACGGAUAAAAGGUACUCCGGGGAUAACAGGCUGAUACCGCCCAAGAGUUCAUAUCGACGGCGGUGUUUGGCACCUCGAUGUCGGCUCAUCACAUCCUGGGGCUGAAGUAGGUCCCAAGGGUAUGGCUGUUCGCCAUUUAAAGUGGUACGCGAGCUGGGUUUAGAACGUCGUGAGACAGUUCGGUCCCUAUCUGCCGUGGGCGCUGGAGAACUGAGGGGGGCUGCUCCUAGUACGAGAGGACCGGAGUGGACGCAUCACUGGUGUUCGGGUUGUCAUGCCAAUGGCACUGCCCGGUAGCUAAAUGCGGAAGAGAUAAGUGCUGAAAGCAUCUAAGCACGAAACUUGCCCCGAGAUGAGUUCUCCCUGACCCUUUAAGGGUCCUGAAGGAACGUUGAAGACGACGACGUUGAUAGGCCGGGUGUGUAAGCGCAGCGAUGCGUUGAGCUAACCGGUACUAAUGAACCGUGAGGCUUAACCUU
rnacentral:rRNA from 1 species